AGUUGACGAACAGAGAAAAAGUCAUAUCUUGGGAUAUGGACCGAUACAUCAGUUGAUCUUUGAAUAAGAGAAACUCAGCAACCGCUGCAAGAAUUGAAAUGCCGAAAAUCAUUUGAAAAUUCUCGUCGAUUAUAUGUUGGGCCAUGCGUUUGAUCAUCUAUGGAGAUUGGAGGUCACUCUGAUUUAGUUAUUGAAAAGGAAAUGUAAAACCAAGGAGACUGAAGAAAUCCAAAGAUAGAGCCAAAAAAGACAGUCAGAGGACCAAUUUGAUUAACCUUAACAAGAAGAAGGCCGAG